GAUGAACGCUGGCGGCGUGCCUAAUACAUGCAAGUCGAGCGAACAGACGAUGAGCUUGCUCCUCUGACGUUAGCGGCGGACGGGUGAGUAACACGUGUAUAACCUACCUAUAAUACUGGUAUAACUUCGGGAAACCGGAUCUAAUACCGUAUAAUAUAUUGAACCGCAUUGUUCAAUAGUGAAAUACGGUUUUUCUGUCACUUAUAGAUGGAUCCGCGCCGCAUUAGCUAGUUGGUAAGGUAACCGCUUACCAAGGCAACGAUGCGUAGCCGAACUGAGAGGGUGAUCGGCGACCCUGGAGCGGGGACACGGUCAAGGCUCCUACGGGAGGCAGCAGUAGGGAAUCUGCCGCAGUAGGCGAGAGCUUGACGGAGCGACGCCGCGUGAGUGAUGACAGUGUUCGGAUCGUAAAACUCUGUUAUUAGGUAAGAACCAAUGUGUAAGUAACUAUGGCCGUAUUGACGGUAACUAAUAAGAAAGCAACGGCUAACUACGUG
rnacentral:rRNA from 1 species